AACGAACGCUGGCGGCGCGCCUAAUACAUGCAAGUCGAGCGAGAAGACGUAGCAAUACGUUUGUAAAGCGGCGAACGGGUGAGGAAUACAUGGGUAACCUACCCUCGAGUGGGGAAUAACUAGCCGAAAGGUUAGCUAAUACCGCGUACGCUCCUUGGACUUCGGUUCAGGGAGGAAAGCGAUACCGUGGGUAUCGCGCUCUUGGAUGGGCUCAUGUCCUAUCAGCUUGUUGGUGAGGAACGGCUCACCAAGGCUUCGACGGGUAGCUGGUCUGAGAGGACGAUCAGCCACACUGGCACUGCGACACGGGCCAGACUCCUACGGGAGGCAGCAGUAAGGAAUAUUGCGCAAUGGGCGAAAGCCUGACGCAGCGACGCCGC
rnacentral:rRNA from 1 species